UACGGGGGGUGCGAGCGUUGUCCGGAAUCACUGGGCGUAAAGGGCGCGUAGGUGGUUUGAUAAGGGUGUGGUGAAAGCCCGGGGCUCAACCCCGGGUCUGCCGUGCCGACUGUUAAACUCGAGGGCUGUAGAGGCAGACGGAAUUCCGGGUGUAGCGGUGGAAUGCGUAGAUAUCAGGAGGAACACCGGUGGCGAAGGCGGGUCUCUGGGCCGAUACUGACGCUGAGGAGCGAAAGCGUGGGGAGCGAACAGG
rnacentral:rRNA from 1 species